GGUGCUGGGCUCCAGCCUUGAAGGGAGGAACACCUGCACUGUGGGGCACAGCUUCAACUUUAAAAUCUUAAAAUCUAAGUAAAGCAUCUUUUCCUUUGGUUUCUGUUGAAGGUGGGCUCAGACUGAAGCUCUGGAUGCACACUCCAUCUGAAAUUAGAUAUGAAAUGCAAGUCUGGGACUUGCAAGGUAAUGCAAGCAUUACCUGGGACUGCAGCAUCCCAGACUCAGGCAUCAACAGUGCUGGGAGUGCCUGGAGCUGGAGCUGCACAGGCAAGCAGGUUUCUCUUCCUGAAAUGGACAUUUGAAAUAGGGUUGGAGCAGCAGCAGGCAACUGGCAAAAACAUUGGGUGCACUCAGCUGAGCAAAGCAUGGCAAUAUCAGCCCUGGUGGGAUGAGUGAGCUCUGGACUCUGGAAACAAAGCACAAAAACCUGCUGUUGGAGACAAACUUGAGAGGAGUGAAGAAGUAAAUCUGUUUGCUUUGUUCUGAAGGGGUGCUGUCAGAGGGCCUAAGCCAGAACCUUCAGGUUUAUAAAACAAAUGGGUCCUUUAUUUCUUUUAUCAUUUCAAUAAAAUAAUAUGUCCAUUGCUUGUUUAAA